rnacentral:rRNA from 1 species
AUUGAACGCUGGCGGCAGGCUUAACACAUGCAAGUCGAGCGGAGUGAUGGUGCUUGCACUAUCACUUAGCGGCGGACGGGUGAGUAAUGCUUAGGAAUCUGCCUAUUAGUGGGGGACAACAUCUCGAAAGGGAUGCUAAUACCGCAUACGUCCUACGGGAGAAAGCAGGGGAUCACUUGUGACCUUGCGCUAAUAGAUGAGCCUAAGUCGGAUUAGCUAGUUGGUGGGGUAAAGGCCUACCAAGGCGACGAUCUGUAGCGGGUCUGAGAGGAUGAUCCGCCACACUGGGACUUAGACACUGCCCAGACUCCUACGGGAGGCAGCAGUGGGGAAUAUUGAACAAUGGGGGGAACCCUGAUCCAGCCAUGCCGCGUGUGUGAAGAAGGCCUUAUGGUUGUAAAGCACUUUAAGCGAGGAGGAGGCUCUUUUGGUUAAUACCCAAGAUGAGUGGACGUUACUCGCAGAAUAAGCACCGGCUAACUCUGUGCCAGCCGCCGCCGUAA